GCCCCCAUCGUCUAGUGGCCUAGGACGCCGGCCUUUCAAGCCGGUAACGCGGAUUCGAACUCCGCUGGGGGCACGA
rnacentral:tRNA from 1 species